CUUCUCUCUCUUCAUUCAUGCGUUCUGCAAUUCCUCCUUUCUUUCUCGCCACCGCUCACGGCUAACUCUGCCAGAGAAGACGGUGGCGGCCGGCCAACCGUGGCGGCGCCGCCAUCUUCUCCGGCGACUCUCCACCCAAAAAUCAAACUUUUAAACACAAACCCCCAUUUAUUUUAGCUUCUGAGUUCAAAUCUAACCUUGCUUUUUUCAAAUUCUUUCUCAGAUGGCCGGAUCGGGGGCCUCCUUCGAAACACCAAACUAAAGCUAACCCUAAACUUCCCCUCUCACACGGCCAAACGAAGCUUGGUUAACCCUCAACCUAAACCACAAAACUUAAACGCCCAAACCUAAACCCUAAAUUCAAGAUGUAAAGUCUUACGGUAAUGUUUUGAAGAAAUUAAGAGAAGGGUCUUAUUCAGUAUGGAGAAGCGUAAAUGGUGAUGCAAAGACUUGAGCAAAAAAAAGAAGGGAAAAUUUACUUGUUUGAAGUCCAACUCCGGCGAAGCUCCCCACAGUUUAAGAUAAGUUUUCCGUCCUCUUCUAUUUUCGCUUUCCUUUAUUUUUUUGCUUUGUAUGUUGUUAUUACUUGGCUUGAAUCUUAGGGUUUGGAUGCUUUAUAAAUUACUGUUUUGAUUGUUGCUUCGUGAAUUUUUUCCAGAAUGUGUUCUUUACUUUGGUUUGGGUUUAACAGCAAAAAACGUUUUUGAUUGUUCUCCUCUGUUUGAUUUUUUCAAAACAUCUUUUUUUUUAUUACUCUUAAUUUGUUGUUGUUAUAUAUGUGAUGAAUGCUGAGGUUCUGAGAUAACUUGUUAAGUUAUCCUUUUUCCAUAUUUUGUGGGAUAAUUACCUUAUGGAUUUAAGGUUGUUGAUGUGGAUAUUGCAAAGUGUUCUUGAGUGUUCUCCUUGGUUUACUGUGUAACCAAUUAAUCUGCUUACUUUAUCAUUUAUUUUUCAGUUUGUUUUAAGUGCUUAUUUUGAUAAGCAGUUUUUUUUAACUUUGAAUUUGGUUUUGCAUUUGCAGGUGAGGUGAUGUUGAAUUGGUUGAAAAGGGGCGCUGGCUUUUUUGAGUUGGGGCACUACACGAAGGGACCAUUGGCUUUGGAGAAAGUCUCUGAAGACUACUUCAAACCAUUAGACUCCAUUCAAUUAUUUUUAGAAUUUUUAGAUUAUUUUUGUGACCUGUAAAUUAAUCAAAUGCUCCUUUGGAUUUUUGUGUAAAUUUGGAUUAUUUGGAGUUUUUUUUUAAUAUGUAAAUUUAAUUUGAAACUUCCUUUUUUUUUGGAGAACUAUGUAACUACUUUUUUUGGAUUAUCAGCAAGAUCUUUUUUAUAAUUUUAA